AGCGAACGCUGGCGGCAGGCUUAACACAUGCAAGUCGAGCGGGCGUAGCAAUACGUCAGCUGCAGACGGGUGAGUAACGCGUGGGAGCGUACCUUUUGGUUAGGAACAACACAGGGAAACUUGUGCUAAUACCGGAUAAGCCCAUAUGGGGCAAGAUUUAUCGCCGAAAGAUCGGCCCGCGUCUGAUUAGCUAGUUGGUGAGGUAACGGCUCACCAAGGCGACGAUCAGUAGCUGGUCUGAGAGGAUGAUCAGCCACAUUGGGACUGAGACACGGCCCAAACUCCUACGGGAGGCAGCAGUGGGGAAUAUUGGACAAUGGGCGCAAGCCUGAUCCAGCCAUGCCGCGUGAGUGAUGAAGGCCCUAGGGUUGCAAAGCUCUUUUGUGCGGGAAGAUAAUGACGGUACCGCAAGAAUAAGCCCCGGCUAACUUCGUGCCAGCAGCCGCCGUAAGAC
rnacentral:rRNA from 1 species